rnacentral:rRNA from 1 species
CGAUGAUGCCCAGCUUGCUGGGCGGAUUAGUGGCGAACGGGUGAGUAACACGUGGGUGAUCUGCCCUGCACUUCGGGAUAAGCCUGGGAAACUGGGUCUAAUACCGGAUAUGACCAUGGGAUGCAUGUCCUGUGGUGGAAAGGUUUACUGGUGCAGGAUGAGCCCGCGGCCUAUCAGCUUGUUGGUGGGGUAAUGGCCUACCAAGGCGACGACGGGUAGCCGGCCUGAGAGGGCGACCGGCCACACUGGGACUGAGACACGGCCCAGACUCCUACGGGAGGCAGCAGUGGGGAAUAUUGCACAAUGGGCGAAAGCCUGAUGCAGCGACGCCGCGUGAGGGAUGACGGCCUUCGGGUUGUAAACCUCUUUCAGCAGGGACGAAGCGCAAGUGACUGUACCUGCAGAAGAAGCACCGGCUAACUACGUGCCAGCAGCCGCGGUAAUACGUAGGGUGCGAGCGUUGUCCGGAAUUACUGGGCGUAAAGAGUUCGUAGGCGGUUUGUCGCGUCGUGUGUGAAAUCCCGCAGCUCAACUGCGGGCUUGCAGGCGAUACGGGCAGACUUGAGUACUGCAGGGGAGACUGGAAUUCCUGGUGUAGCGGUGAAAUGCGCAGAUAUCAGGAGGAACACCGGUGGCGAAGGCGGGUCUCUGGGCAGUAACUGACGCUGAGGAACGAAAGCGUGGGUAGCGAACAGGAUUAGAUACCCUGGUAGUCCAC